GUCUUGGCUUCAGUACCCGAAUGGGUUCCUUGUUGGAGAUGCUGAUUUCUCACAGCUGGCACUGGUUUGCCAAUCUCUCCUGAGUCCCUUCAGGAAAAUGACUACUUACCACAAAUGAAGAGUGACCUCUUCCAUGUGGUUUCAUCUUUAUAGGAGAGAAAGUUUCCACAUACACUGACUCAAGCAUCGAAAGCCUCCUGGGCAGCAUGACAGGUGUCAAUGGCCUUUGGAGUCAUUCAUGCCUAAGCAGCUACAGUCUGAGCACAUUUUACAGAAGACAAAAGGAGUCAUUACCUGGAGCUUCUCAUUUAAUGACUUCAUACCUUCUGGGGACAGGAGAUAAAUGAAGGGCCUUCAACUGAAAGCUGUCAUUGAUUUUUGAUUGGUGUUUAGAUCCCUCUAGAAACAUAUUACAUAUGUCCAGAGCAUUAUUCUUUCAUUUCAUUGUGGAGAAGUUGCUAUAAAUGUGAAUGUAUAUCAGACACUUGUAUGUUGCAAACAUUAACAUCUAAGAAGGAACACAUUUGCUUUGUCUGCAGAUUCUUAAUGAGUGACAAUGCAUGCCC
rnacentral:lncRNA from 1 species